rnacentral:tRNA from 1 species
GAGGGUAUACCUCAGUGGUAGAGUAUGUGCUUAACAUGCACGAGGUCCUGGGUUCAAUCCCCAGUACCUUCA